GUGGCUGUGGCUCAGUGGUAGAGUGUUUGUUCAGUACAUGUAGGGUGCUGGGUUCCAUCCUCAGCACAACA
rnacentral:tRNA from 1 species